rnacentral:lncRNA from 1 species
UUGUUUGUCACUUACCCCUUUCUCAACGCAAUAAACUUUCUAUUCAGUCUACUAAAUGUGCUUUUAUAGGUCAUAGCACUUCGCAGAAAGGUUUAUUUGGUAUAAUCCAAGUUCUAACAAAUUUCUUAUUUGUAGAAAUGUUGUGUUCUUUGAAAACCAGUCUUCUUUCUUACCCAUGUUGAGUCAUCUUCUGUUUUUCCUCUUCUUCCUACAUUUGAGGAUUUGUCAUUUUCU